CCUACGGGAGGCAGCAGUAGGGAAUAUUGCUCAAUGGGGGAAACCCUGCAGCAGCAACGCCGCGUGGAGGAUGAAGGUUUUCGGAUUGUAAACUCCUUUUGUUAGAGAAGAUAAUGACGGUAUCUAACGAAUAAGCACCGGCUAACUCCGUUCCAGCAGCCGCGGUAAUACGGAGGGUGCAAGCGUUACCCGGAAUCACUGGGCGUAAAGAGCGCGUAGACGGGAUAGCAAGUCAGAUGUGAAAUCCUAUGGCUUAACCAUAGAACUGCAUUUGAAACUGUUAGUCUGGAGUAUGGGAGAGGUAGGUGGAAUUCUUGGUGUAGGGGUAAAAUCCGUAGAGAUCAAGAGGAAUACUCAUGGCGAAGGCGACCUGCUAGAACAUAACUGACGCUGAUGCGCGAAAGCGUGGGGAGCAAACAGGAUUAGAUACCCGAGUAGUC
rnacentral:rRNA from 1 species